UCUCCGUAUAUGUGCAUCAGUUUCUUCACCUGAAGAGUCCUCUUUCAAUCUUUGAAUCUCUACAGCCACGAAUCUCUACAGCCACUACAUCAAUUGUUACUGGAACAAUUAAUUCCCAAAUACGUUUCAUACCAGCAAUAUUUAACAUCGAACCCAUCAUGGAAGUGGGCACACAUUUGCAGUUUCAUUUGACUACACUAAGGUCCUCCCCAUGGCUCCUUAAUUUCAUACCCCUGCAAGCGGAAUCCCCAUAUCUCAGUUAAAUGCAGACGUGGAUCAGAAAUGAUUGGUCGUGGCUUGUUCAUGAAGAAGGCUCAGCGAAGGGACAAACAAAUUUGUCGAGCUGGUUUUUUUGUAUAUAUAAAUUUACUACAAGAGUUGCAAAUAAAUAGUGUAAUGGAUACAUUCUGUAGUUCGCUUUAUAUCUACUUCAAAUGAUUGGUGGUGGCUUGUUCAGGAAA